CAACCAGUCUUCACUACGGUUGGGUACUGAAACCCGGUUCCACUAUGGAACUGGUUCCUAAGCAACCGGUAGGGAUCGGACCGGAUUAGAACUCACAUUUUUAUUCCUCAUUUUGGUUCCAGUUA